AGUUUUUCCCUUACAUCUACCGGGUGUGGGAACUCACCCAGCGCAUCCGACUGCACCAGGGUUUUUGUGACCAGUGUCUUGCGCCAAACUCCUGUCUCCUCCUGUGACUUAGAAUGCCUAACUUCCUGGGAAUGCAGCACGGGUCUCAGCCUCAUUUUGCCCAGCCCCUAUUCAAGACGGAUUUGCUCUGGUUCAAAUGCUUCUGACAAUAUUCCUCAUGGUGAAUGCUGGAUUUUGCAUGCCCGAGGCCCUGGGCCACACUGUAUGUUUGCUUUUUGCAAGGGCUGUAUGGCUAUGACUAGUCAUGUGGACCCUGCAUUCCUAUGUAAAUGACCCUCCAUAAAAACCCCAGAAAUGAAUGCUUGAGUGAACUUCCCUGGCUUGUAUUAUAAU
rnacentral:antisense_RNA from 1 species